UACAGAGGUCUCGAGCGUUAGGCGGAAUCACUGGGCUUAAAGCGUGUGUAGGCGGCGGGCUAAGUACCUUGUGAAAUCCCACGGCUUAACUGUGGAACUGCUGGGUAUACUGGUUCGCUUGAGCGGUCUAGGGGCGAGCGGAACAAAUGGUGGAGCGGUGAAAUGCGUAGAUAUCAUGAGGAAGACCAGUGGCGAAGGCGGGUCUCUGGACAGUUCCUGACACUGAGACACGAAGGCCAGGGGAGCAAACGGG
rnacentral:rRNA from 1 species